GGUGAACGCUGGCGGUAGGCCUAACACAUGCAAGUCGAACGGCAGCACAGUAAGAGCUUGCUCUUACGGGUGGCGAGUGGCGGACGGGUGAGGAAUACAUCGGAAUCUACUUUUUCGUGGGGGAUAACGUAGGGAAACUUACGCUAAUACCGCAUACGACCUACGGGUGAAAGCAGGGGAUCUUCGGACCUUGCGCGAUUGAAUGAGCCGAUGUCGGAUUAGCUAGUUGGCGGGGUAAAGGCCCACCAAGGCGACGAUCCGUAGCUGGUCUGAGAGGAUGAUCAGCCACACUGGAACUGAGACACGGUCCAGACUCCUACGGGAGGCAGCAGUGGGGAAUAUUGGACAAUGGGCGCAAGCCUGAUCCAGCCAUACCGCGUGGGUGAGGAAGGCCUUCGGGUUGUAAAGCCCUUUUGUUGGGAAAGAAAAGCAGCAGGUUAAUACCCCGCUGUUCUGACGGUACCCAAAGAAUAAGCACCGGCUAACUUCGUG
rnacentral:rRNA from 1 species